rnacentral:rRNA from 1 species
CGCUGGCGGCGUGCCUAAUACAUGCAAGUCGAACGGUCUUUCUAUGGAAGCUUGCUUCCACUGAGAAGAUAGUGGCGAACGGGUGAGUAACACGUGGGUAACCUGCCCAUAAGAGGGGGAGUAACAUCCGGAAACGGGUGCUAAUACCGCAUAGUUUUCUUGAUCGCAUGAUUGAGAAAGGAAAGACGGCCUUUGUGCUGUCGCUUAUGGAUGGACCCGCGGCGUAUUAGUUAGUUGGUGAGGUAACGGCUCACCAAGACGAUGAUACGUAGCCGACCUGAGAGGGUGAUCGGCCACAUUGGGACUGAGACACGGCCCAAACUCCUACGGGAGGCAGCAGUAGGGAAUCUUCCGCAAUGGACGAAGGUCUGACGGAGCAACGCCGCGUGAGUGAAGAAAAGGGUUUUCGGAUCGUAAAACUCUGUUGUCAGAGAAGAACAAGUUGGAGAGUAACUGCUCCAGCCUUGACGGUAUCUGACCAGAAAGCCACGGCUAACUACGUGCCAGCCGCCGC